CUCUCUUUUUAACUACUAUAGUCCUAUACUACUACAUAGUAAUGAAGUUAUUUUUACAAUGUAACCAGGAUUUUUUCAGCAUUAAUGUUGUUAAGUGUAACUGGUAUUUUUUUUCCUUCAAUUUUCCAUUAUAAGACAACUUUUUCAGUUCUAACAGUUUUCACUGCUAUCUUCCACAACUUUUCAGGUCUUCAGGAUGGCUCCUGAGUGUUUUAUGCUGACAUUACUUCAUUCUAGAAGCACAGAAAAAAAUAUGGCUUUAUUCUUAUAUGAUACCUCUUGAGAUGCCACUAUGAAGUAGACACACCCUGGACAGAAUGAAGUUUGACAAAGAUCAGAUCAGGAAUCACAAUGAGACUCCAAGGCUUUACCAAACUGAAGGCAAAACUGAGUUAUUUAUUUAGAGAUAAACUAGAAAAAAUCUUUAUCAAUUAUACAUGGACAUGUUUGUACAUUCCUGACUGGCCCGGGGAACAUUAAA